rnacentral:lncRNA from 1 species
UGGUUGGCUCUAAAAUGAUUUUGUUGGCAGUUCAUCUCCGGCAUAGUUAAAAACUUGGGUUUUUAUCAUUUAUCUCAGUUUUGCUAUUAGAAGUUCAACUGUGAAAAAUGUCAUGGUUUUGUGAGAUGCUUGCUCAAAAAUGCUAUUUGAUAUCUCAAAAAUGCCAUCGUUCAUUAGAUGUUUGUGAAAAAAAUGCCAUUAGACAUUGUUAUUAUG